GCUACGGGAGGCAGCAGUGGGGAAUAUUGCACAAUGGGGGAAACCCUGAUGCAGCGACGCCGCGUGAGCGAAGAAGUAUUUCGGUAUGUAAAGCUCUAUCAGCAGGGAAGAAAAUGACGGUACCUGAGUAAGAAGCUCCGGCUAAAUACGUGCCAGCAGCCGCGGUAAUACGUAUGGAGCAAGCGUUAUCCGGAUUUACUGGGCGUAAAGGGAGCGUAGGCGGCCUGCCAAGUCUGAUGUGAAAUACCGGGGCCCAACCCCGGGCCUGCAUUGGAAACUGGCGGGCUGGAGUGUCGGAGGGGCAGGCGGAAUUCCUAGUGUAGCGGUGAAAUGCGUAGAUAUUAGGAGGAACACCGGUGGCGAAGGCGGCCUGCUGGACGAUGACUGACGCUGAGGCUCGAAAGCGUGGGGAGCAAACAGGAUUAGAUACCCUAGUAGUC
rnacentral:rRNA from 1 species